AGAGCGAACGCUGGCGGCAGGCUUAACACAUGCAAGUCGAGCGGGCGUAGCAAUACGUCAGCGGCAGACGGGUGAGUAACGCGUGGGAACGUACCUUUUGGUUCGGAACAACACAGGGAAACUUGUGCUAAUACCGGAUAAGCCCUUACGGGGAAAGAUUUAUCGCCGAAAGAUCGGCCCGCGUCCUGAUUAGCUAGUUGGUGAGGUAACGGCUCACCAAGGCGACGAUCAGUAGCUGGUCUGAGAGGAUGAUCAGCCACAUUGGGACUGAGACACGGCCCAAACUCCUACGGGAGGCAGCAGUGGGAAUAUUGGACAAUGGGCGCAAGCCUGAUCCAGCCAUGCCGCGUGAGUGAUGAAGGCCCUAGGGUUGUAAAGCUCUUUUGUGCGGGAAGAUAAUGACGGUACCGCAAGAAUAAGCCCCGGCUAACUUCGCGCCAGCAGCCGC
rnacentral:rRNA from 1 species